AGGCAGCAGUGGGGGAUAUUGCACAAUGGGCGAAAGCCUGAUGCAGCAACGCCGCGUGAGGGAAGACGGUGUUCGGAUUGUAAAGCUCUGUCUUCAGGGACGAUAAUGACGGUACCUGAGGAGGAAGCCACGGCUAACUAC
rnacentral:rRNA from 1 species